UACGGAGGGGGCUAGCGUUGUUCGGAAUUACUGGGCGUAAAGCGCACGUAGGCGGAUUGGAAAGUUGGGGGUGAAAUCCCGGGGCUCAACCCCGGAACUGCCUUCAAAACUCCCAGUCUGGAGGUCGAGAGAGGUGAGUGGAAUUCCGAGUGUAGAGGUGAAAUUCGUAGAUAUCAGGAAGAACACCAAUGGCGAAGGCAGCUCUCUGGGACGGUACUGACGCUGAGACGCGAAAGCGUGGGGAGCGAACAGG
rnacentral:rRNA from 1 species